rnacentral:rRNA from 1 species
UCCGUAGGCGGUGCGGCAAGUCGAUAGUGAAAUCCCUGGGCUUAACCCAGGGGCUGCUAACGAAACUACCGUGCUCGAGUGUGAGAGAGGCGAGUGGAAUUACGGGUGUAGCGGUGAAAUGCGUAGAUAUCCGUAGGAACAUCCGAGGCGAAAGCGGCUCGCUGGAUCACAACUGACGCUGAGGGACGAAAGCUAGGGGAGCAAACAGGAUUAGAUACCCUGGUAGUCCUAGCCCUAAACCAUCAGGACUUGGGGUUUGCCCUGUACGGGGCAAGUCCCGUAGCUAACGCGUUAAGUCCUGCGCCUGGGGAGUACGGUCGCAAGGCUGAA